CAACCCGAACCCUAGUCUGCUCUCGACCGAUACCCUCUCUUUCCCCCAUCGUGCCUCUCCUUGUCUGCUCGAAAACGACACGAGAGCUCGAGCGGUGACUGCGCCGUCGCCGCCGUUCCCGCGGCCUACGAGCUCCCCGGCGCUUGUGGAGUUGUCCCGAAGAGCCACAGCCAUCGUCUCCAUCAUCUACGCCUCUGGAUCGGAGCCGAGGGGCAACACCAUCGUCUUCCACGUCGAUCCCCUUCGACGAACAUCGCCUCUGCCUCGUCAUCGAUCCCCUCGACUCCAACUACCUCCGGCUCCCCUGAGCUCCUACGAACCCCCCUGUGAGUGGCCCGUCGAUCUGUCUCCGUAGAGUCACCCCGCGAGCUCGCGCCCGCCGUGGCCGAAGCCCUGCCGCAACCGCACCGGGUUCGCCCUCAUACACGCUCGUCGCACCCAUGGUUGUGCUCCCCCGCGCGUCCGGCCGCGGCCUAGCCGCGUCCCGCAGCCGCCCGCUCCGCGCACGCUCGCUGCUCUGCUAUCAUUGAUGUCGCCUCUGCUACUUUGGUGCUCCUACAAGCUUGAUAUUAUUCAUCUGCUAGCUGACGCCGCUGCUGUUUUGCUGCUGCUCCUGCUAGUUAGUCGCUGCUGCUCCUAAGCGCUGCUCCUGUCUGCUAACUACUGUUGUUCCUAGAUGCUGCUGCUUGCGGCUUCUGAUUCCUCCUACUGUCGCUGCUAGUUGCUGCUAAUGGCCAUGGCCGUGGCCAGUGGCGGAGCCAGGAUUGGCCGACGCCCCAGGCGAGAAACUAAGGGUAAAAAAAUAACUCCCCCCUCCCUGAAAAAUACAGUUUCAAAGCAUAUAAAAGUCAAGCAGGGGCGACGACGGCGACGCGUCUUCGACUCGCUUCUGUGCUUGUAGUCAUUGCUAGGUAGUCUAUGAACCGGGAUGUAAUUUUUAUUAUAUCUCGUGUUCAUUUUAUAAAUUUCUCAAAAAAAUAUAAAUUUUGAAUGGCAAAUCGGUGCAUCCAGGCAUUUUUUUAAACUUAGCUGGUAUAAUAACAAAUGCAAAAUGUGAAUUACUAAACCGGAUUCCACAUUUAUGCUCUCUGCAGAACUACAAAACUAAGGAAUACAAUAUGAAAAGGGAAAAAGCAUUAAGAAUUAAUGAUCUUUUCUCAAUCAAGCAUCAAACGGUGGCAACUAGCAAGUGAAAUUCCCCGCAAAAGAAAACUAGCAAUAAAAAUUGGGAUUUGGAAACAGUGGCUAGCAAGAGAAAUCUCUUCAUCAACUAACCUAACACGGGCUACGUACACUACGUCAAAACAUCUUCCUUUUCUGGUCAAAAAAGACUCUCGUAGCUAUGUACCAGCAGCACAGGCUCUGUCUUUCUUGUUUUCGUUCACUUUUUUGUUGUUGGGCUGGCUAAUGGCCCAAAAACAGGGGUAUGAAGUGGGCUGCGCCCCAGGCCAUUUUUUUCUGUAGAUAUAUUGGCUGGGAAAUUUGUCACGCCCGAGGCCACUGCCUGGGCUGCCUGCGGCCCAGAUCCGCCCAUGGCUGUGGCCAUGUCCAAGCACGAGUGGUGUGCGUGUGUAUGCACAGGCACCACCGGCCGGCCGUGCAAUUUAACUUAGGGACUAAUUACUAGCUAGUUUAACUACCAGCCCUUGACAAGUGGACCCUAGACUAAUUAAUCUAAUUAACUAGAAUAUUUUAGUUGCUACAUAUGGCAUGUGGGACACACCAUCCCCAUUUGAUCAGUCAAGUUGACUUGGCAACUCGAAUUAAAAUAAAUCCAAAAUUUCAUAAUAUUAUUUAAAACUUUGAAAAAUCAUUUAAAAUAAACCGUAGCUCGCAUGAAAAUAUUUUGUACAUGAAAGUUGAUCAGAACGACGAGACGAAUCUGAAUACACCAUCCGUUCGUCUGUCACAUGUCCCUAGCAUAGUGAACCUGCAACUUUUCCCCUCCGUUUCAUUUGUCUGAAAAUGUCAAACUUUGGGAAAAGAUUUUCGGAUGUUUUUCCCCUUCGCCGGUAUCGUGUAGCACUGCGUUAGAACACCCAUAGCACCGCUUAUUGUCAUGACAUGCAUCUGUUUGCUUGUAUUUAUUGUUUCUUCCCCCUCUCUCCGAUAGACCCGACACCGAUGCUGCCGUUGUGAUCGACUAUGUCGACUCUUCUUCCCUUUCAGCGGAGCUUCCAGGCAAGCCCCCUUUGAUCAUCCCGACAUCACCCAUUCCAUUCUCUCAUGCUUGCAUUAGAUUUUGCUACUAUAAUUGAUUGCUCCUAUUCUGAUGCAUAGCCUGCUUUUGUAAUCUGCUUAUUGUUACCUACCUUCUUAUCCUAAACUACUUAGUAUAGGUUGGUUAGUGAUCCAUCAGUGACCCCCACCUUGUCCUUGUUGCCCCUGCUUUAUCAUUGACCUCCUCAAGUAAGUAACCUUCUUAUCCUAAACUACUUAGUAUAGGAUUUAACCGAGGACGCAGGCCUAAGCUGCAAUCGCCCGGAUACUCAAGAGUGGAUAGCGAAGGCAAAGAUGAUCAGGUGUCCGGCUCCCCUUCCCGAAACCAGGCCGGAUCCCGCGCUGGUCAGGAUGCUGAAGAUAAUGCCUUUGGAGGGAAGUAAAGGGGAGGACAAGGAAACUAUGGCCUCCUCGAAGGAGGCUAAUCCGAAGGGAGGAAUCGACAAUUCCUCUCCUAAGGGGAAGAAGAGAGCCGUCUCUGACGACCCGGAGACCAUGGCCUCGAAGCGGGGGGAAAAUCCUCAUCAGACGGUCCUAUGCCGAGGAGUUCCUCGGCCGGACUAUGCCCUCAAGGGGAUCAGCCCUCCAGCGAGCCCUUGGACCUUAGCCCUUCUCAGCAGAGCUCAUCUUCGGGGAAUCGGAGAUGAUGGAGAGCGGGACGCCUUCCCCUGCCGUGCCGCCUAGCGAGGUGGG